AUUGAACGCUGGCGGAAUGCUUUACACAUGCAAGUCGAACGGCAGCACGGACUUCGGUCUGGUGGCGAGUGGCGAACGGGUGAGUAAUGUAUCGGAACGUGCCCAGUCGUGGGGGAUAACGUAGUGAAAAUUACGCUAAUACCGCAUACGAUCUAUGGAUGAAAGCGGGGGAUCGCAAGACCUCGCGCGAUUGGAGCGGCCGAUAUCAGAUUAGGUAGUUGGUGGGGUAAAGGCCCACCAAGCCAACGACCUGUAGCUGGUCUGAGAGGACGACCAGCCAAACUGGAACUGAGACACGGUCCAGACUCCUACGGGAGGCAGCAGUGGGUAAUUUUGGACAAUGGGCGAAAGCCUGAUCCAGCCAUUCCGCGUGCAGGAUGAAGGCCCUCGGGUUGUAAACUGCUUUUGUACAGAACGAAAAGGUUUCUACUAAUACUAGGAACUCAUGACGGUACUGUAAGAAUAAGCACCGGCUAACUACGUGCCAGCCGCCGCUGUAA
rnacentral:rRNA from 1 species